ACCAACCGAAGCACGGCUCUGCUGGCGUUUUCCGACGAUCCUUAUCCUUCUCGCCGCCGGCUAAGGGUUUCAUUUCUCCUAGCGGCCACCACCGCCACGGCUUCCGCUUCCAAGAGACUGAGCCAGUGCAAUUGGAAACCAGAUGUCCCAGUUCCUAGGUUCGAAGAUAAAUAAGAGCUCUUGCCUUUUGAUCCUGUUUACGAGCACCUAAGUUCAAAAUCAGAGGUUUCCUGAUCUAAUUCUGCCCACGUUGUCAGUUGAAAGUACAUAAGGCCUCUUGCUUUUUCCUUUGGAUGCUAUUUAUAAACCCACCAGUCUCGAAUCAGCAAUUUC